GACAGAGGGGGCAAGCGUUGCUCGGAAUUACUGGGCGUAAAGGGCGCGUAGGCGGGAUGGCAAGUCGGUCGUGAAAUCCCUCGGCUCAACCGAGGAACGUCGAUCGAUACUGCUGUUCUUGAGGAUUGCAGAGGAGACUGGAAUUCCCGGUGUAGCGGUGAAAUGUGUAGAGAUCGGGAGGAAGGCCGGUGGCGAAGGCGGCGCUCUGGACUAUAACUGACACUGAUGUUCGAAAGCGUGGGUAGCAAACAGG
rnacentral:rRNA from 1 species